UGGGGAAUUUGCACAAUGGGGGAAACCCUGAUGCAGCGACGCCGCGUGAUUUAGAAGGCCUUCGGGUUGUAAAAAUCUUUUCUAUGGGAAGAAAAUGACAGUACCAUAGGAAUAAGGACCGGCUAAUUACGUGCCAGCAGCCGCGGUAAUACGUAAGGUCCGAGCGUUGUCCGGAAUCAUUGGGCGUAAAGGGUACGUAGGCGGGUAAGCAAGUUAGAAGUGAAAUCCUAUAGCUCAACUAUAGUAAGCUUUUAAAACUGCUCAUCUUGAGGUAUGGAAGGGAAAGUGGAAUUCCUAGUGUAGCGGUGAAAUGCGCAGAUAUUAGGAGGAAUACCGGUGGCGAAGGCGACUUUCUGGCCAUAACCUGACGCUGCGGUACGAAAGCGUGGGUAGCAAACAGG
rnacentral:rRNA from 1 species